rnacentral:rRNA from 1 species
AUGGCGCUCACACGCCGUUGGGCAGCCUCCCUCCUGCUCCUCCUCGCCGCAACCCUCCUCGCGGGCUCGGCCGCGGCCACGGGAAAGACCGGCAACGUCGUCGUGUUCUGGGGCCGGAACAAGGACGAGGGGUCCCUCCGGGAGGCCUGCGACACCGGCACGUACACCAUCGCCGUCAUCUCCUUUCUGGACGUCUUCGGCCGCGGCAAGUACCACCUCGACCUCUCCGGCCACGAUGUCUCCGCCGUCGGCGCCGACAUCAAGUACUGCCAGUCCAAGAAGUUCCUCGUCUUCCUCUCCAUCGGGGGCUUCGGCGGCCAGUACUCCCUGCCGACCGCCCAGUCCGCGGCCGACGUCGCCGACUACCUCUGGAACGCCUACAUGCUGGGCACCCGCGAGGAUGUCUACCGCCCGUUCGGCAACGCCUACGUGGACGGCAUCGACUUCUUCCUCGACGGCGGCGGGCGGCCUGGGCCGGACCCCUACGACGAGCUGGCCAGGCGGCUAUGGGACUACAACAAGCCGUACCGCGGCAGGGUGCCGGUGCAGCUGACGGCGACGUCGCGGUGCGGGGACAGGCGCGUGGGGCGGGCGCUCGCCACGGGGCUCUUCACCCGGAUCUUCGUCAGGUUCUUCGACGACCCCCACUGCGCCGCCAACUGGCAGCAGGAGUGGGGCAGGUGGACGGCGGAGCAGCCGGGCGCGCAAAUCUACUUCGGCCUGCCGGCUUCGGAGAAGACGGUCGGCUACGUCCACCCCCUGGACCUUUACUACGAUAUUAUCCCGGUGGUACAGAAGGCGGCCAACUACGGCGGCAUCAUGGUCUGGGACCGCUACGAGGACAAGCGCACCGGCUUCAGUAGCUUCGUCAUCAACUGGGCUUGA